AACGAACGCUGGCGGCAGGCUUAACACAUGCAAGUCGAGCGCCCCGCAAGGGGAGCGGCAGACGGGUGAGUAACGCGUGGGAACAUACCCUUUGGUUCGGAAUAACUCAGGGAAACUUGAGCUAAUACCGGAUACGUCCGUAAGGAGAAAGAUUUAUCGCCAAAGGAUUGGCCCGCGUCCGAUUAGCUAGUUGGUGAGGUAACGGCUCACCAAGGCUACGAUCGGUAGCUGGUCUGAGAGGAUGAUCAGCCACAUUGGGACUGAGACACGGCCCAAACUCCUACGGGAGGCAGCAGUGGGAAUAUUGGACAAUGGGCGCAAGCCUGAUCCAGCCAUGCCGCGUGAGUGAUGAAGGCCUUAGGGUUGUAAAGCUCUUUUGUCCGGGAAGAUAAUGACUGUACCGGAAGAAUAAGCCCCGGCUAACUCGUGCCAGCAGCCGCGGUAAU
rnacentral:rRNA from 1 species